UAGGAUUCGUCAAAAUGCAUGAGGGAAAACUCUUGCGGUCCAAUUUGAUUUGAAAUGGGAUACCCUAGCCUGACCUCAUGAAACAUAAAUGUUGGACCUUUGUUGGAGAGAACUCAACCAGGAUACGUGAGUUCAACUACAAAUGAAAAUCUCUUCAAGGAGUGGCACCAAUGUUGAAGUGAAAAUGACUCAAUCUCAAGCACCAAAGUACAAAUGAAACCAGUAGUGCAGGGUGUUCUUGAUUCAGUGGGCGUAAACUAGCCAUCGGAAAGGAAGUGUUGCUGCUGUACAUGUGUGCAGAUCAUUUGAGGAAUAAAGAGGUGUAGCUGCUGCUAUGCUGGAAAUGCUUACACUGCCAUGUUGGAUUAAAUGAGUGAUGACCUGGACAUUGGCAAGUUGACACGUGUAUCUGAUCAGCCAAUUAAGGGACUCCAAGAGACAAAAGCAAAGCUGGGCAACAAAGACAACUAGAAUACCUGUGACUUGGACAAGUUGAAUAAAUGCACAUUUGGGAGACUUGAAGCACCAACACUCACAUGUUCUUGGCUAUAGUUUUACUUGUUACAUACAGUCUCUUAGGUAGUUAACUAGUUGUAUUAGAUAUAUUAUUUUUAUCUUAUCUUUAUUUUUUAUAUUUAAUUAGUUUGAUAUUAUUUUUUAUUUAUAUUUUGGGUUUAAUCCAUAUUUCUUCUAUUAUAAAUAGAAUACCCUACAUGUAUAUUCAUUAUAUUCAACUCUAGAGUCAGGUUCUUUUGAGAAAAAAAUUCUGUUGCCUUUGCAUUACACCUGUUGCUGCCGGCGUCUUCUAUCGUUGCCACUACUGGAGUUCUAGUUUCGUCUAACAAUCACACUGUUUUGAUUGUCUCGGCCAGGUGACUACUGUGUCGUCAACGACGCCUUCAUCGGAGCUUUUACACGCUCUUAAUGCCUUUUGAAGUUGUGAAUCUGUUGCCUUUUCCAUUGUGCGUGUGACAUGUCUCAUCUCCUCUUAGACAACGAUUUAGAGUGUCAAUGUCGUUCUUUUUCCUCUUUCAGGUUCGUUGUGCAUUGUUGCAUGUCCCGUCUCCUCUCAGGCAGCUAUUUAGAACAUUGAGGUUGGUCCUUUUCCUUUUUCUAGUGCCUUGAUUGGAGAAUUUUGGAUUUUUAAUGGUUUUCUCUUCUGUUCA